rnacentral:rRNA from 1 species
UACAGAGGUCUCAAGCGUUGUUCGGAUUCAUUGGGCGUAAAGGGUGCGUAGGUGGCAUGGCCAGUUUGAUGUGAAAGCUCAGGGCUUAACCCUGAAAUGGCAUUGAAUACUGCUGUGCUGGAGGUUUGGAGGGGGGACUGGAAUUCUUGGUGUAGCAGUGAAAUGCGUAGAUAUCAAGAGGAACACCAGUGGCGAAGGCGAGUCCCUGGACAACACCUGACACUGAGGCACGAAAGCCGGGGGAGCAAACAGG